ensembl:lincRNA uncharacterized LOC106144706
CCGCCGCGCAGCCCAGCCCAUGCAGCGCAUGCAGCCCAGCCCGGGCCCGCGUUCGGAGUGCGAGCGCCGCGCGACCCUGCACGCCUGGCCCUGCGGCCUUCUGGGGCGCCCGCUGCCUCUGGCUCCCGGUAGGGGCAGGAGUGUGUGCAAUAGCUCUUCUAAUGUUAUGGUGAAAGCUUCAAGUCAGGCAGAAUUGAAUAAAGCAUGUCCGCGCUUCACCAUCUAGCUCCAGAACACCUGGGAUCCAUCCUAUUGCUGCUGCUUCCCCUGUUGACUGCUGGUGCCACAGUCAAGCUCCUCUUCUGUCACAAGGCAUAGCCCUUCCAGUUCUGGCUAAACCACUUUGGGAAAACCUCCUUUAUAUGACAGGCAAACAGGGUGCCUGUGAGUGAGAGGGAGGAGCUGGAGACUAGAAGUGAGUUGGUGGUGAAAUAUCUGGUCAUGCUGGGACUGGAUCCCAACAUGGCCAGCCCUUCUCAUUUUCUCAUUUAUUGGGGUGGGUCUACAUUUACCUUUCACCAUCUGGCUCUACCACAUCCUAGACACUCAUUGAUUUAAUGGCUUCCUUUGGCCAGCUCUAUGUCUUCUGCCUUGUUUUCAAUACCUAGCCAGUGCUACCCACAAUCAAUCACCUAAUAACUGCUUUGGGCACAGUCUCUUCGGUCAGAUAGAAAUUCAUUCAUCACCAGCUGAAUGUUGGAUCCUGGUACCUCGAUCCCUUAGGGCUUGUCCUCAGGAAUCCAGAGGCUGCCUCUGGUAGAAUUGAAAGGAGGUAUGAGACUCACCUGAAUCUUCCUGAAUCUGGGAACUCCAUGAUCUUGAGUUUCAACAAACCUGCUGCCCUUCCUUAGCCCAUUUGAUCCAGAAACAUAUGCAAUGAUCGUAGCUUCUUAUUGAGUUUUCCAAUUGGUUUGUCAGCUGGAAUAUGGUUUCUCAAUCUCAACUCUUGAUAUCUUGAGUUGUGGGGACUGUCCAUGCAUUGUAGGAUGUUCUCCAAACACUCCCUGGUCUCCAAACACUAAAUGCCAGUAGCACCCCCAUUCCUAUUACAUCCAAAAAGCUUCCCAAACAUGCCAAAUCACUUCCAAUGACAAAAUCACUCCCAAUUAAAAACUGCUCAUUCAUAUUGGGGAAUAGGAAUGUCACAGGUUGGCAGUUAAUGUGUCAGGGUUGGAGGCAGUGGAGUUAUAGGCUGGCUGGGAAUUGUGCACCAAGACAGCUCCCAAGCCCAAAACUGCCUAAUAUGGUAGUAUGACAAACGGGGCCACUUAGUGUUCAGGACAAAAAAUCGUAUGCAUCUUCCUGACAUCUGAGGACAUCAUUUUCACAAUGUUGAUGAUAAUGCAGAAUCGGUGUGUGUACCUGCAGUCCCAACACUCGGAAAACUGAAGCAGAAGAGCCUCAAGAGACACAGUCUGCUUGUACAACAGACAGAGAUCCCUGUCUUAAGGAGAACAAAAACAACAAACAAACAAAAAAGAAUGCAAAGCGCAGUGGUGGUGCCUGUAAUCACAGCUACUCAGGAGGCUGAGGGAGGAGGUUAGUUGAGCAACUUAGAAUCUAUCUCAAAAUAAAAAGGACUAGGGAUGUAACUCAGUGACAGAGCACUUGCUUAGCACAUGAGAGACCAUGAGUUCAAUCCCCAGUACUGCAAAUAAAUAAAAGAACAAACUAAAAAAGGGUGCUCUGUUUGCAAAGGUGAGGAAGUCGGUGAGACAUGUUAGUAUUGACUAUAUUCAGAGAGUAGAUCCAUGGCUGCUUGGGAAAGGGGGAUAGGGAGGAGUGAGAGGAAAUUUGGGAUUAUGGAUAUGAUCAUUAUCUUGACUGUGGUGAUGGUUUCAUGGCUGUGUACUUACGUCAAAACAUAUCAAGUUGUAUACUUUAUGUGCAGUUUAUAGUGUGUCAAUUAAAACUCAAUAAAACUUUUUUAAAAGUGUUUAAUUGUUUGAAGUUUCUUUUUAAACUCUUUUU